rnacentral:rRNA from 1 species
UACGGAGGGUGCAAGCGUUAUCCGGAUUUACUGGGUUUAAAGGGUGCGUAGGCGGGUUGAUAAGUCAGUGGUGAAAGCCCCGGGCCUAACCCGGGAACUGCCAUUGAUACUAUCAGUCUUGAAUACAGUUGAGGUGGGCGGAAUGUGUCGUGUAGCGGUGAAAUGCUUAGAUAUGACACAGAACACCGAUUGCGAAGGCAGCUCGCUAAACUGUGAUUGACGCUGAGGCACGAAAGCGUGGGGAUCAAACAGG